ensembl:misc_RNA Metazoa_SRP Metazoan signal recognition particle RNA
GCUGGGCACAGUGGUGCGUGCCUAUAGUCCCAGCUACUCGGGAGGCUGAGGCUGGAGGAUCGCUUGAGCCCGGGAGUUCUAGGCUGUCGUGUGCUAUGCCGAUCAGGUGUCCACACUAAGUUUGGCAUCAAUAUGGUGGCCUCCCGGGAAUGAGAAACCACCAGGUUGCCUAAGCAGUGGUGAACUGGCUCAGGCUGGAAAUGGAGCAGGUCAAAACUCCCGUGCUGAUCAGUAGUGGGAUCGUGCCUGUGAAUAGCCACUGCACUCCCGCCUGGGCAAUAUAGCAAGACCCCGUCUCUA